UAAAAAAAUCUGGGAUGAACCGGGGCUGCUAACUUUGGUUUGAGUGGUUCAAUUCCAUUCUUAUUUAU
rnacentral:tRNA from 1 species